rnacentral:rRNA from 1 species
AGUGAACGCUGGCGGUAGGCCUAACACAUGCAAGUCGAACGGCAGCACAGUAAGAGCUUGCUCUUACGGGUGGCGAGUGGCGGACGGGUGAGGAAUACAUCGGAAUCUACUUUUUCGUGGGGAAUAACGUAGGGAAACUUACGCUAAUACCGCAUACGACCUACGGGUGAAAGCAGGGGAUCUUCGGACCUUGCGCGAUUGAAUGAGCCGAUGUCGGAUUAGCUAGUUGGCGGGGUAAAGGCCCACCAAGGCGACGAUCCGUAGCUGGUCUGAGAGGAUGAUCAGCCACACUGGAACUGAGACACGGUCCAGACUCCUACGGGAGGCAGCAGUGGGGAAUAUUGGACAAUGGGCGCAAGCCUGAUCCAGCCAUACCGCGUGGGUGAAGAAGGCCUUCGGGUUGUAAAGCCCUUUUGUUGGGAAAGAAGAGCAGCAGGUUAAUACCCCGCUGUUCUGACGGUACCCAAAGAAUAAGCACCGGCUAACUUCGUG